rnacentral:rRNA from 1 species
AGCAGUCGCCGCGGUAAUACAGAGGGUGCGAGCGUUAAUCGGAUUUACUGGGCGUAAAGCGUGCGUAGGCGGCUUCUUAAGUCGGAUGUGAAAUCCCUGAGCUUAACUUAGGAAUUGCAUUCGAUACUGGGAAGCUAGAGUAUGGGAGAGGAUGGUAGAAUUCCAGGUGUAGCGGUGAAAUGCGUAGAGAUCUGGAGGAAUACCGAUGGCGAAGGCAGCCAUCUGGCCUAAUACUGACGCUGAGGCACGAAAGCGUGGGGAGCAAACAGGAUUAGAUACCCGCGUAGUCCCUGUCUCUUAUAC